rnacentral:lncRNA from 1 species
GAGCUUAUGCUUUGGACUCACGACUAUUGGUUUUGAUGGUCAUCCAAACCAUUUGUUGGCUUUAUAUGAGAUUACAGACACGAUUCACCACCAUUUGGGUAUUCAAGUAGGAUCUUAUAAGGAAAUGUUCAUAUACUAGUCCGUGUGGAUUUCGGGUGUAAUACAAGUCAAAUCGGUAUUGAACUUUCAAGGACUAUAAUCCAAGGUCAAACUAAAGAGACCCAAGCCACAAUAAUCUCAAGGAUAUAAGGAUAUAUUUGGAGGAACCUUUUCAAGCUCUCGAGAGAACAACACCAUGUAUGAAGGAUAGGUUAGAGUCGGGAGCCAAAUUUAACUCAAGACUUUGACAAAAAAGCAAGCCUGCG